GCCCGAAGACAUUCGGAUUAAUACCGCAUAUUCUCUAGGGAGAAAAGAAGGCCUCUUUACAAUGCUUUUACUAUUGGAUGAGCCUGCAUUAGAUUAUAUAGUUGGUAGGGUAAAAGCCUACCAAGGCGACGAUCUAUAGCUGGUUUUACGAGAAUGAUCAGCCACACUGGAACUAAGACACGGUCCAGACUCCUACGUGAGGCAGCAGUGAAGAAUAUUGGACAAUGGGGGAAACCCUGAUCCAGCAAUGUUGCGUGUGUGAAGAAGGUCCGAGGAUUGUAAAGCACUUUCAGUAAGCAAGAAAAGUGUAAAUCUAAUAGAUUUGCAUAUUGACCACUUAUAGAAGAAGCACCGGCUAACUCCGUGCCAGCAGCCGCGGUAAUACGGAGGGUGCGAGCGUUAAUCGGAAUUACUGGGCGUAAAGGGUAAGUAGGCGGUUUAUAAAGUCACAUGUGAAAGCCCUAGGCUUAACCUAGGAAGUGCAUGUGAUACUCAUAAACUAGGGUUUGAUAGAGGAAA
rnacentral:rRNA from 1 species